CAGUGCUGUUUGUUGGUGUUCCCACUUCAUACAAAUUAAUGCUACAACGACCGUGGGUUUUUUUUUUCUUUUGUGGUCCCCUUGUGUCUAAGUUUUGUAUAUAUAUGUGUAUGUGUGUGUCUACAUGCACACAUUUAAAGCAGUUGCUGGCACAGUUGGCUGGAAACAUAAAUGUAAAAUGAGAAGUGUUAAUGAAAACUGGAACUUAGCCAAAAUGAAUACUCUGCUGGAAGGAGAUGGAGAUGGAAAAUGGAUCUGUAGGGAACCAGCUAAAGCACUUAGUGAAGUUUUAUAUUUACAAAUCUGGGGAGAUUCCAAGGACAUGGGAGAGCGCCAUGGCUGAUCUGGGACUUCACAAGCCUCAGUGGGACACUCUGGGGAGCAAUCGGCUGCUUAGCAGGACAGCAUCCUUCGACAGACUCACCAGACAUUAAUUCAGGCCUCCAACAACAAGGAAUUAGAGGCUAAAAAUAAAAGCAGCACUAAUCAGCUGGGUUUCGUGGAAGUGCCUCUGCUCGACGUGGGAUUGCUGCCAACUAUGACAUCUCCCCUAGGAUCAACAACACAGAGACCAGGAAUAACCAACAGCUGGACUCAUUCAGGCCUUCCUUUCAGGAAAAAAAUUACACUGUGAUUAAUGAGCAAAGCAGAGGGCAGAAAGCGAGGCGUUGGGGGUGCUCCAGGGAAAGGCUGGGCUCCCAUGCCUGUCCCUAUGGCCAUUCCCCACCCAUGUUGGAUGUCCUCCAAAGUCGAGGUUGUUCCCCAUUGCUGUGGUGGUGGCACUGGGGACAGAGGAGGAACAGGGGUGUGGAUGGACACAGAUCCCCUCUCAGUGCAGGGGUCCCUGGGCAGGGAGCUAAAGCUCAGUGCCUACAGUGGUGUAGGGCAGGCAGUGCAGGCAAGAGCCCAUUUUCGCUGCAGAGCUGUAAUAAUGUGUUCCAGGGCUGUUUUCAUGUGGAACAAUCCUCUCUGAGCUAUAAUUACACUCAGUCGCCCCAGAAAAUCAGCAGAAACUCUAAUCCUUUCAGCUGUGUGAGUACAAUGCAAGCAGGCACGUGGCCAGUACACACUGCUGCUGCCAAUCCUGCUAGCCCACCGCACUGACAGCACCAAGCCCCCAACCAUCUCCUUCUUUUUGGAGACCUCAGCAUGCACCCAUGCAAUCAUAGAAUCAUUGAAUCAUAGAGUCAUAGAAUCAAUAAGACUGGAAAAGACCUCUAAGAUCAUCUAGUCCAAUCCAUCACCACAAUGGCCACUAAACCAUGUCCCUCAGUGUCACACCUACAUGUUUCUUGAAAACCGAGGUCCCAUCAUUACAUACCAAGAGCACAACCAGGGUGAGGGGAGAUGGUGUUGGGCUGUGAUUGCCUGCAGGAGGCCCUGCAGGUUGGGGCCUGCAUGUAGCUGCAGCAUCCUGGAGCAGCGUGAGGCUUCCCCCAGUCACCAGAGAACCCCAGGUGGGGUGGGCAGGGCAAGAAGGCCUUGCUGGCCCCAUGCCAGGGAGCAGGGCACUUGCUGAGGUGUCCCAAUAUCUCAUUUGUUCAUUUGCCACACCCGUGGGUGAGGAAAACGGUAUUGUUCCUGGUUAUUCUGAGAUCGAUGCUAACCAGCAUGGCGUGAGGGGCAGACAAAAGCAAUGAUGCACAAAGGAAAAAAAUUACCCAGGACUCAAUUCAGAAGGAUAGGGGUGGAGACCCCUCUGCUUUACCUGCUCGUGCUGGGACAAAACUGCGGAUGCCACCUUGAUGCUCAGUGAGAAGGUGCCAGGGCUGCCAUCUUUCUUACAGCUCCAGGGCACCCCGCAAACACCACUUGCCUUCCUGGUGGAUCUGCAUAGCUUCAGAAUCCACCUGCCCCUGGACAUCCUCUCAGAAGGCAGAAUUUACCCAUUUUCCCAGGAGCUACUUAAUGGGAGGAGAUUGCAGCUUAUGGUUGAGAUGAGCAUUGCUUCACCUCCUCAGGGCUCCAAUGGAUAUGCCUCCACUAUACAGACUGAUUGCAAAUCUGCCUCCCUACCCUCAGGUGCCUAUUUCACCACUUCCUGGAAGCACCCCACUGCAGUCAUUGGCACCACACUGCACCUGAAACUGAAAGUUCAGCAGAAUCAAAGUGUACCUCUCCGUGGUGGUUGCUGAUGGAGAUCAUUGGAGCAUGCAGGGGGUCCUGACUCACUUUUGGACUCCAGGAAGAGCUGAAGCAAAGUUUCAAGAGCACCAGAGCAGAGCUCGGAUGAGAUGAAACAUCUCCUGGUUUUGAAAUGUGUGGCUUAUUGUGGAUGGCCAGAUGGAUGUGAGAGUAAAGGAAACUGUCUACUCAACAUUUUCACAGAGAAAACUGCCAAGCUAGAAAGUGAAGUCCAUGAAAGUCCAGGAGGGAAAAAGAACAGGAAUGGUCAAAAACAAAGUCCUGCGGCUAUUGGAACAUCAUCAGUUCUGGCUUCUGGAGGCCCGGUGCACCACAUUACAACCACGGAAGAAUGUGUUUUUAAAGUAAUUAUUUAAAUAGUGUUAAUUAGCUCUAUAAAAAUGAAAAAGAAUUUUUUUUUUCAUUGGGGAUCAUAAUAGGAUUUAUUUCUAUGAGAAAAAAUAAGGCUUUUUCAUAUUUCUUCAGCUUAUUAAAUUACCUCAUGUUCUUUUAACUCACACUAGAUUAAUAGCAAGGGAAAUUUCAAAUACAACUUGAUGUGAUUUAA
ensembl:lncRNA